rnacentral:rRNA from 1 species
GAUGAACGCUGGCGGCGUGCCUAAUACAUGCAAGUCGAGCGAACGGACGAGAAGCUUGCUUCUCUGAUGUUAGCGGCGGACGGGUGAGUAACACGUGGAUAACCUACCUAUAAGACUGGGAUAACUUCGGGAAACCGGAGCUAAUACCGGAUAAUAUUUUGAACCGCAUGGUUCAAAAGUGAAAGACGGUCUUGCUGUCACUUAUAGAUGGAUCCGCGCUGCAUUAGCUAGUUGGUAAGGUAACGGCUUACCAAGGCAACGAUGCAUAGCCGACCUGAGAGGGUGAUCGGCCACACGGGAACUGAGACACGGUCCAGACUCCUACGGGAGGCAGCAGUAGGGAAUCUUCCGCAAUGGGCGAAAGCCUGACGGGCAACGCCGCGUGAGUGAUGAAGGUCUUCGGAUCGUAAAACUCUGUUAUUAGGGAAGAACAUAUGUGUAAGUAACUGUGCACAUCUUGACGGUACCUAAUCAGAAAGCCACGGCUAACUACGUG